AUUGAACGCUGGCGGCAGGCCUAACACAUGCAAGUCGAGCGGAUGAAGGGAGCUUGCUCCUGGAUUCAGCGGCGGACGGGUGAGUAAUGCCUAGGAAUCUGCCUGGUAGUGGGGGAUAACGUCCGGAAACGGGCGCUAAUACCGCAUACGUCCUGAGGGAGAAAGUGGGGGAUCUUCGGACCUCACGCUAUCAGAUGAGCCUAGGUCGGAUUAGCUAGUUGGUGGGGUAAAGGCCUACCAAGGCGACGAUCCGUAACUGGUCUGAGAGGAUGAUCAGUCACACUGGAACUGAGACACGGUCCCGACUCCUACGGGAGGCAGCAGUGGGGAAUAUUGGACUAUGAGAGCAAGCCUGAUCCAGUCAUGCCGCGUGUGUGAAGAAGGUCUUCGGAUUGUAAAGCACUUUAAGUUGGGAGGAAGGGCAGUAAGUUAAUACCUUGCUGUUUUGACGUUACCAACAGAAUAAGCACCGGCUAACUUCGUG
rnacentral:rRNA from 1 species